AUGCGCUUGCUGCUUCGCCGCCACGGCGGCCGGGCCAACGCGCUUGAUGAUCUGGUCACGCCGCUGGCCCACAAGGCCACCGAUAUGCGCACUAGAGGAAACCAACGGCUCAGGCCGGGCGGGUCCCGCGCAGUUUUCCCGCUGAUCCGGCAAUCCUUCGGCGGGGCGACGUGGAUAGCGUGAUAUCUCG
rnacentral:sRNA from 27 species